rnacentral:misc_RNA from 1 species
GAUGAAGAACGUAGCGAAAUGCGAUAAGUAAUGUGAAUUGCAGAAUUCAGUGAAUCAUCGCAUCUUUGAACGCACAUUGCGCCCCCUGGUAUUCCGGGGGGCAUGCCUGUCCGAGCGUCAUUACAACCCUCAAGCUCAGCUUGGUGUUGGGCCCCGCCGCCCCGGCGGGCCCUAAAGUCAGUGGCGGUGCCGUCCGGCUCCGAGCGUAGUAAUUCUUCUCGCUCUGGAGGUCCGGUCGUGUGCUCGCCAGCAACCCCCAAUUUUUUUCAGGUUGACCUCGGAUCAGGUAGGGAUACCCGCUGAACUUAAGCAUAUCAAUAAGCGGAGGA